rnacentral:rRNA from 1 species
GAUGAACGCUGGCGGCGUGCCUAAUACAUGCAAGUCGAGCGAACAGACGAGGAGCUUGCUCCUCUGACGUUAGCGGCGGACGGGUGAGUAACACGUGGAUAACCUACCUAUAAGACUGGGAUAACUUCGGGAAACCGUAGCUAAUACCGGAUAAUAUAUUGAACCGCAUGGUUCAAUAGUGAAAGACGGUUUUGCUGUCACUUAUAGAUGGAUCCGCGCGGCAUUAGCUAGUUGGUAAGGUAACGGCUUACCAAGGCAACGAUGCGUAGCCGACCUGAGAGGGUGAUCGGCCACACUGGAACUGAGACACGGUCCAGACUCCUACGGGAGGCAGCAGUAGGGAAUCUUCCGCAAUGGGCGAAAGCCUGACGGAGCAACGCCGCGUGAGUGAUGAAGGUCUUCGGAUCGUAAAACUCUGUUAUUAGGGAAGAACAAAUGUGUAAGUAACUAUGCACGUCUUGACGGUACCUAAUCAGAAAGCCACGGCUAACUACGUG